UACGGAAGGCAGCAGUGGGGAAUAUUGCACAAUGGGCGCAAGCCUGAUGCAGCCAUGCCGCGUGUAUGAAGAAGGCCUUCGGGUUGUAAAGUACUUUCAGUCGUGAGGAAGGUGUUAAGGUUAAUAACCUUAGCAAUUGACGUUAGCGACAGAAGAAGCACCGGCUAACUCCGUGCCAGCAGCCGCGGUAAUACGGAGGGUGCGAGCGUUAAUCGGAAUUACUGGGCGUAAAGGGCACGCAGGCGGUUAAUUAAGUUGGAUGUGAAAUCCCCGGGCUUAACCUGGGAAUGGCAUUCAAGACUGGUUAGCUAGAGUCUUGUAGAGGGGGUAGAAUUCCAUGUGUAGCGGUGAAAUGCGUAGAGAUGUGGAGGAAUACCGGUGGCGAAAGGCGGCCCCUGGACAAAGACUGACGCUCAUGUGCGAAAGCGUGGGGAGCAAACAGGAUUAGAUACC
rnacentral:rRNA from 1 species